UUGCUUUGGCAGCACAUAUAGUAAAAUUGGAAUGAUACAGAGAAGAUUAGCAUGGCCCCUGAGCAAGGUUUGUACAGUGCUUUACACAUAUGAUCUCAUUUGGU